CUUACACAUGCAAGUCGAACGGCAGCACGGGGGCAACCCUGGUGGCGAGUGGCGAACGGGUGAGUAACAUAUCGGAACGUGCCCUGGAGUGGGGGAUAACUAGUCGAAAGAUUAGCUAAUACCGCAUACGAUCUACGGAUGAAAGUGGGGGAUCGCAAGACCUCAUGCUCGUGGAGCGGCCGAUAUCUGAUUAGCUAGUUGGUGGGGUAAAGGCCUACCAAGGCAUCGAUCAGUAGCUGGUCUGAGAGGACGACCAGCCACACUGGGACUGAGACACGGCCCAGACUCCUACGGGAGGCAGCAGUGGGGAAUUUUGGACAAUGGGCGCAAGCCUGAUCCAGCAAUGCCGCGUGAGUGAAGAAGGCCUUCGGGUUGUAAAGCUCUUUUGUCAGGGAAGAAACGGUGGAGGUUAAUACCUUCUGCUAAUGACGGUACCUGAAGAAUAAGCACCGGCUAACUACGUGCCAGCAGCCGCGGUAAUACGUAGGGUGCAAGCGUUAAUCGGAAUUACUGGGCGUAAAGCGUGCGCAGGCGGUUGUGCAAGACAGAUGUGAAAUCCCCGGGCUCAACCUGGGAAUUGCAUUUGUGACUGUACGGCUAGAGUGUGUCAGAGGGGGGUAGAAUUCCACGUGUAGCAGUGAAAUGCGUAGAGAUGUGGAGGAAUACCGAUGGCGAAGGCAGCCCCCUGGGAUAACACUGACGCUCAUGCACGAAAGCG
rnacentral:rRNA from 1 species